rnacentral:rRNA from 1 species
UACAGAGGGGGCAAGCGUUGUUCGGAAUUACUGGGCGUAAAGGGCGCGUAGGCGGCCUGUUAAGUCGGACGUGAAAUCCCCGGGCUCAACCCGGGAACUGCGUCCGAUACUGGCAGGCUUGAAUCCGGGAGAGGGAUGUGGAAUUCCAGGUGUAGCGGUGAAAUGCGUAGAUAUCGGGAGGAACACCUGUGGCGAAAGCGGCUCACUGGACCACAACUGACGCUGAGGAGCGAAAGCUAGGGGAGCAAACAGG